UCUGCCUCCAAACAGAGCUGACUGGCUCCAGAACACUAAAAGGGCAGACUCCCCUGUUACAGUAUUGUACCGAGGUAGAAGAUGGAACAGAGAUGGGAGAGGUCAUCUAUGAGCAAGAGAGCAGACAGCAUCCAGAAGAUUAAAUGUCUGGGAUAUUAACUGCAAGUUUUAGGGAUCAAACUUAUGAGGUGGUGACCGCCUCCUGGAAGAUGUGGAGUGCCCUCAACUCAUUAAUUUCAGCAGGAGAUGAGGGCUCCCAGCAACAUCUGGGAGGUCUCAGUGAGUCAAACAUCCUAAGGCUGGAAAUCCUGAGCUGAUAAGAGAGGAAUAAUUAAAAGAUCUCAAAGCACUUUACAAAAAUGGGUAAGUAUUAUUAUCCCCCAUUUUACAGGUGGCCUUUAUACAGAGAUCUGAACUAAUGUGUCUGAGAAUCACCAUGAUCUCUAGCAGAUCAGAGCUGGGUCUGCUCUGAGCUCUAUCAUGUGUGUUCAAUAUAACGGUUCAUGUGUCACAUACUCUCUAUUCCUUAAGCAAUCUGAAAACUGGACUUGUGUAUACUCUCCCUAGGCCACGGUUGUAUUUUGCAAAAAGAACGAGGAGGACUUGUGGCACCUUAGAGACUAACAAAUAUAUUUGAGCAUAAGCUUUCGUGAGUAGCAGCCAUGUUAGUCUGUAUCCGCAAAAUGAAAAGGAAUACUUGUGUGUAAUGCCUGUGGGGGAGCUAUUUUAACAAGAACUGGGAAUUUCCUUUCAGUUUCGCAAAGUAGCCUUGGCUGGCUCAAAGAUGGUUGCGGAAAAUAUUUGCUGUUGCCAUGUUUUUUCUUCGUCCGCUUCAUUGACAGAGAAUCAUGUCAAGUUCUCAAACAGCAGCAGCUUCUUAAAUAUUUUACUCUGCCUGUCUUUGAAAAACUGUCUCUUGCUGGAUGAUCCAAGUUCCAAAUCUAUCUGGGUUUAAAGUAUUCUAGUGUAGUGUGAUUUUGUUGGAUAGAGAGAAGGACACCAAGAAACAUUGAACACUUUGUAAAAAAAAAUAUUUUAAAAAGAACAAAUUUCAGGCUUUUCAUUACUAACUUUGAGCAAAAUUAUCAGAAAAUGCUCCAGCUGAUGAAAUUUAACCCUAAAAAUUUGAAAGCAUGAGAACUUUGGUUUAUUUUAUUUACAAUAAUAUAAUGGGAGUGUGGUAGCAACAUUAGCUACGGCGAAGCUAUUGCUGCUCCAUAAUAAAACAACAUAUAACUGUAGAGCCAAGGAUCCUGGUCCUUCAGCUCCAAAAACAUAGGCCUCCAAACACUUGUGGUUAAAUGAAAAUCUCUGUUAACUAUCAGAUAGAGAAACAUCAUUAUGUUCUUUCUGGGCUCCAGCCAGCCAAGGGGGCAAUGGUCUCACCCUGCUCCACCUUGGUUGAUCCUUGUGGCCAUACAGAGCUCUAUUGACUUCACUGGGGUUCUGUGAAGAUGCAGGGGUCUAUCUAGGCAGACCCUAUUAUAAGAUCAGAGUCAUAGCUCCAGUUCAGCAAAACACUUAUCUAUGCACUAACCUUUAAGCAUGUUCCUGAGUGCUUUAAUUUUGGUUUGGAAAGUUUCCAGACUUACUCUGAAGGAAUUUACUCAGAAUUACUCAGGGAAUGUUUUUGGAAACUCUGAAGAAAAUUUGUACAGCACUCUAUAGCUUAAGGCCCCAGUUCUGGGACACACAUGGGCUUAACUUUAAGCAUGUGACGUGUCCCACUGAACUCAAUGAGGCGAUUGGCAUGCAUAAAGUUAAGCACGUGCAUAAGGAUUUGGAGGAUCCGAGCCAAAAAAUUACUGUAGCUUUAAGUUUUUAAGGUGAGUGUUUCUUUGUCUCCCUCUGGCUUAAUAUGCAUUUUACUCUCCUCUUCAAACUUUCAAUAUAAUUUGAAUUCUAACCAAUAAACUUUCCACUGUAAAGUUUGCAACCCAAACAUUGUAGCGCAGUGCUAGUGGAAUCAGGAAAUGAAAUAACGGGAAACAUUGUAACUGACUGUCCAACUUGACAGAUAUGCACAGACUCGGGCUUCUAUCCUGUGAAUUCGUACACAUGCUUAACUUUCCAUUCCUCCCAUUAAACUCAAGGAGACUACAGACAUGUUAGGUAUAUGUAUAUAAAGAUUUGCAGGAUCCUGGCUUAAAUAAAGUGCAUUCCCACUGACAAGUCAAUGAGAUGUUUAACAUUUUUUUCAGUUUUUAAUAAGGUGUUUUUCUAGUAAUCCAGGUAAGGACUGUUUGUUUGAAUAUUGUAUAUUGUUAACCUGACAAUGUUUCUUUCACACUGACCUGCAUAUUGCAGAAGCUUGGUCGCAGGCUAUUAGAAAGACAAGGCGGGUGAGGUAAUAUAACAAAAGUUGGUUCAAUAAAUGAUAUUAUCUCACCCACCUUGUCCCCCUAUCAAACAUAAUAAGCAGAUAUACUUUGUUGUUGUUGUUGUUGCAUUUUUUGCAUUGCGCGACAGGUAGCUCGCUAUAUUCCGUCUGUUCAGUAGCU